CUUCGCUGUGUCCGUAUUUUUUUUUUUUUUCACCGUGGCCCUAAUACGCUUCCGUACACAGGCUCUCAGGUCCAGCACAGUAUGAUUAUUUCAAUAAGCACACUAUGUGUCCUUCCAAUCCUCCUUUGCGAGCUUUGCCCUCUACAUCCCGACUCUGACUCUGAGUGGCUUCUUUAAUGUGGAGUAACCAAGCUAGGAGUAAGCCUAAGGAAUACUGCCACUUCUAGCAAUGGAGGAUGAAUUCUUCCCAAUAUCCAACCUUCCUCAGACUAACCAUUCCUCAUUCAUCCCCCGGCUGAGUUAUGCCUCCACUCCUGUGGCCCUUCAAUUAUGGCCCCUUGCCAGGUGGGGAAUUAUCCUGGACCCAAGUCCGGAUGCCAGUCCAUCCUUUUUGGCACUUACACUGGACAUAUCAUGAUUUGGACACCUCUAGCUCUGAAGUGGAAGUAUCCACCAGCUCUUCAGAAUCAUCAAACACUUCAUUACAAGGCAGAAACCUUAAAGGCCACGGUGUGUCUCUCCAUCACCCAUUUGGUUCAGGCAUACGCGCAUAUACUACUCACCAGUCCAGGAGGAUAAUGAUGUCAGACGAGAAGGAGCCACCUAUGGAAACCUUUAUAUGCUUAUGGCUGUGAAGCGGCAGUGUUCGUU